rnacentral:rRNA from 1 species
CACAAGCGGUGGAGCAUGUGGUUAAUUCGACGCAACGCGAAGAACCUUACCUGGGUUUGACAUCCCGAUCGUACCUGCUGGAAACAGCGGGGUCAGUUCGGCUGGAUCGGAGACAGGUGCUGCAUGGCUGUCGUCAGCUCGUGUCGUGAGAUGUUGGGUUAAGUCCCGCAACGAGCGCAACCCUUGUCCUUAGUUGCCAUCAUUUGGUUGGGCACUCUAAGGAGACUGCCGGUGUUAAACCGGAGGAAGGUGGGGAUGACGUCAAGUCCUCAUGGCCCUUAUGUCCAGGGCUACACACGUGCUACAAUGGCCGGUACAAAGGGCAGCAAAGCCGCGAGGUGGAGCCAAUCCCAUAAAGCCGGUCUCAGUUCGGAUUGGAGUCUGCAACUCGACUCCAUGAAGUUGGAAUCGCUAGUAAUCGCGGAUCAGCCAUGGCGCGGUGAAUACGUUCCCGGGCCUU